GUCUAAUUUUCCCUUUUUUUUUUUGUAAUUUCUCCCCCUUAUAUUUCGAUGUUCACCCUUGAAUUGGUGUUAUUUAUAACAUCAAGUGGAGUAUCAACCAAUAUAUAUAUGUUUAAAUGUACUCUUUUUCCUCCCUCUCUUAUUGAAGAAGCAAAUAUCCAUCGUGUACACGCUCAGUCUCUGUCUGAAAAUUUUAAUAAUUUAAGUUAAUUCACGGCGUGAAAAUUGGACUUUUCCGAUACAAGUGACUGUUGGUUUCAGAAAUGGCUUUCGUAG
rnacentral:misc_RNA from 1 species